GAUGAACGCUGGCGGCGUGCCUAAUACAUGCAAGUCGAGCGAAUGGAUUGAGAGCUUGCUCUUAUGAAGUUAGCGGCGGACGGGUGAGUAACACGUGGGUAACCUGCCCAUAAGACUGGGAUAACUCUGGGAAACCGGGGCUAAUACCGGAUAACAUUUUGAACCGCAUGGUUCGAAAUUGAAAGGCGGCUUAGGCUGUCAAUUAUGGAUGGACCCGGGUCGCAUUAGCUAGUUGGUGAGGUAACGGCUCACCAAGGCAACGAUGCGUAGCCGACCUCAGAGGGUGAGCGGCCACACUGGGACUUAGACACGACCCAGACUCCUACGGGAGGCAGCAGUGGGGAAUCUUCCGCAAUGGACGAAAGUCUGACGGAGCAACGCCGCGUGAGUGAUGAAGGCUUUCGGGUCGCAAAACUCUGUUGUUAGGGAAGAACAAGUGCUAGUUGAAUAAGCUGGCACCUUGACGGUACCUAACCAGAAAGCCACGGCUAACUACGUGCCAGCCGCCGCAGUAA
rnacentral:rRNA from 1 species